CCUACGGGAGGCAGCAGUGGGGAAUAUUGGGCAAUGGAGGAAACUCUGACCCAGCGACGCCGCGUGCGGGAUGAAGGCCUUCGGGUUGUAAACCGCUUUCAGUAGGGAAGAAGCGAAAGUGACGGUACCUACAGAAGAAGCACCGGCUAACUAUGUGCCAGCAGCCGCGGUAAUACAUAGGGUGCAAGCGUUGUCCGGAAUUAUUGGGCGUAAAGAGCUCGUAGGUGGUUCGUCACGUCGGAUGUGAAAAUCUGGGGCUCAACCCCAGACCUGCAUUCGAUACGGGCGAUCUAGAGUGUGGUAGGGGAGACUGGAAUUCCUGGUGUAGCGGUGGAAUGCGCAGAUAUCAGGAGGAACACCAAUGGCGAAGGCAGGUCUCUGGGCCAUUACUGACACUGAGGAGCGAAAGCGUGGGGAGCGAACAGGAUUAGAUACCCUGGUAGUCCACGCCGUAAACGGUGGGCACUAGUUGUGGGAACCUUCCACGGUUUCUGCGACGCNGCACGCAUAAGUAGCCCGCCCGUCGGGAGGUACGAGUCGCGAGAAGUAAACUAACUAAUAGUAGUUAGUUAGUCGUUGAGAGUUGCCGACGGACGACGACGAGGGAGGAGG
rnacentral:rRNA from 1 species